AGAGAAAGUAAAAGUCGUAAACAGGGUUUCUGUAGGUGAACCUGCGGAGGGAUCAUUAGCGAAGCAACGCCCCCGGAGGUUGUGCUGGCGCUCUCUGCGCACGUGCACGCCCCCGUCGGGUUGUCCGCCCGUCCCACACCUGUGCACAUGUCCUGUCGGAACUCGGAGGGGGGCCUGCGUGCCCCUCGCCCGUUCCGGCCCCUUCACACCAGCCCUGUUGUAUGUCUGAAAGCCACUGCGCUUGCGCAACCUAAAAACAACUUUUAACAACGGAUCUCUUGGUUCUCGCAUCGAUGAAGAACGCAGCGAAAUGCGAUAAGUAAUGUGAAUUGCAGAAUUCAGUGAAUCAUCGAAUCUUUGAACGCACCUUGCGCUCCUUGGCAUUCCGAGGAGCAUGCCCGUUUGAGAGUCUCGACAUCAUCGGGCGCCUUCUCCCUUGCGGGGGGAGAGCGUCUGGACUUGGACGUGCUGCCGGGCGGCAACGCUCGGCUCGUCCGAAAUGCAUUAGCGGGAGAGACCCAGGCCCUCACUUGGCGUGAUAAGUCACCCGUCGAGAUGCCGGUGGUGGACUCCUGCUUCCAACGGUCCCGCUUGGGACAACAACCGGAUGGCUUGUCCGUCCGACGUUCUGACCUCAAAUCGGGUAGGACUACCCGCUGAACUUAAGCAUAUCAAUAAGCGGANNNAAAGAAACUAACAAAGGAUUCCCCUAGUAACGGCGAGUGAAGCGGGAAAAGCUCAAAUUUAAAAUCUGGCGGUCUUUGGCCGUCCGAGUUGUAGCCUAGAGAAGCGUCUUCCGCGGCGGACCAUGUACAAGUCUCUUGGAACAGAGCGUCAUAGAGGGUGAGAAUCCCGUCCUUGACAUGGACCCCCGUCGCUCUGCGAUGCGCUCUCGAAGAGUCGAGUUGUUUGGGAAUGCAGCUCAAAAUGGGUGGUAAAUUCCAUCUAAAGCUAAAUACUGGCGAGAGACCGAUAGCGAACAAGUACCGUGAGGGAAAGAUGAAAAGCACUUUGGAAAGAGAGUCAAACAGUACGUGAAAUUGUUAAAAGGGAAACGAUCAAAGUCAGUCGCGUCUGCCGGGACUCAGCCUCGCCCUUGGGCAUGGCGCAUUUCCCGGUGUGACGGGCCAGCGUCGAUUUUGGCCGGCGGAGAAGGGUCGGAGGAAUGUGGCUCCUCGCGGAGUGUUAUAGCCUCCGGCUGCAAACGUCGGCUGGGAUCGAGCCCUCGAGCACGGCACGCCCCUGGUGGUGCCCGYGCUGGCGUAAUGGCUUUGACCGACCCGUCUUGAAACACGGACCAAGGAGUCUAACAUGUCUGCAAGUGUUUGGGUGGCAAAACCCGAGCGCGUAAUGAAAGUGAUGGUUGGGAACCCUUUGCGGGGGGCACCGACGCCCGUGGCCGACCUUCUGCGACGCACACGAGGCAGAGCAUGCAUGUUGGGACCCGAAAGAUGGUGAACUAUGCCUGAAUAGGGUGAAGCCAGAGGAAACUCUGGUGGAGGCUCGUAGCGAUUCUGACGUGCAAAUCGAUCGUCAAAUUUGGGUAUAGGGGCGAAAGACUAAUCGAACCAUCUAGUAGCUGGUUCCUGCCGAAGUUUCCCUCAGGAUAGCAGAAACUCAUGUCAGUUUUAUGUGGUAAAGCGAAUGAUUAGAGACCUUGGGGUUGAAACAACCUUAAUCUAUUCUCAAACUUUAAAUAUGUAAGCUCAGCACGCUUGCUUGGUUGAAGCGGCUGUAAAUGAGAGUUUCUAGUGGGCCAUUUUUGGUAAGCAGAACUGGCGAUGCGGGAUGAACCGAACGCGAGGUUAAGGUGCCGGAGUUCACGCUCAUCAGACACCACAAAAGGUGUUAGUUCAUCCAGACAGCACGACGGUGGCCAUGGAAGUCGGAACCCGCUAAGGAGUGUGUAACAACUCACCUGCCGAAUGAACUAGCCCUGAAAAUGGAUGGCGCUCAAGCGUGACACCCAUACCUCGCCGUCGGCGUUGGCUAUACGUCGACAAGUAGGCAGGCGUGGGGGUCGUGAAGAAGCCUAGGAGGUGACUCCGGGUGA
rnacentral:rRNA from 1 species